rnacentral:rRNA from 1 species
UGCCCGGUUCGCGGUCUUAUACAUGCAAGUCGAGCGAGCAGAACCAGCAGAUUUACUUCGGUAAUGACGCUGGGGACGCGAGCGGCGGAUGGGUGAGUAACACGUGGGGAACCUGCCCCAUAGUCUAGGAUACCACUUGGAAACAGGUGCUAAUACCGGAUAAUAAAGCAGAUCGCAUGAUCAGCUUAUAAAAGGCGGCGUAAGCUGUCGCUAUGGGAUGGCCCCGCGGUGCAUUAGCUAGUUGGUAAGGUAACGGCUUACCAAGGCAAUGAUGCAUAGCCGAGUUGAGAGACUGAACGGCCACAUUGGGACUGAGACACGGCCCAAACUCCUACGGGAGGCAGCAGUAGGGAAUCUUCCACAAUGGACGCAAGUCUGAUGGAGCAACGCCGCGUGAGUGAAGAAGGUUUUCGGAUCGUAAAGCUCUGUUGUUGGUGAAGAAGGAUAGAGGUAGUAACUGGCCUUUAUUUGACGGUAAUCAACCAGAAAGUCACGGCUAACUACGUGCCAGCAGCCGCGGUAAUACGUAGGUGGCAAGCGUUGUCCGGAUUUAUUGGGCGUAAAGCGAGCGCAGGCGGAAUAAUAAGUCUGAUGUGAAAGCCCUCGGCUUAACUGAGGAAUUGCAUCGGAAACUGUUUUUCUUGUGUGCAAAGAGGAGAGUGGACUUCCUUGUGUAGCGGUGGAAUGCGUGUAUUUUGGGAAGAUCACCUGUGUUGAUUG